rnacentral:rRNA from 1 species
GUAGGGAAUCUUCCACAAUGGGCGCAAGCCUGAUGGAGCAACACCGCGUGAGUGAAGAAGGGUUUCGGCUCGUAAAGCUCUGUUGUUAAAGAAGAACACGUAUGAGAGUAACUGUUCAUACGUUGACGGUAUUUAACCAGAAAGUCACGGCUAACUACGUGCCAGCAGCCGCGGUAAUACGUAGGUGGCAAGCGUUAUCCGGAUUUAUUGGGCGUAAAGAGAGUGCAGGCGGUUUUCUAAGUCUGAUGUGAAAGCCUUCGGCUUAACCGGAGAAAUGCAUCGGAAACUGGAUAACUUGAGUGCAGAAGAGGGUAGUGGAACUCCAUGUGUAGCGGUGGAAUGCGUAGAUAUAUGGAAGAACACCAGUGGCGAAGGCGGCUACCUGGUCUGCAACUGACGCUGAGACUCGAAAGCAUGGGUAGCGAACAGGAUUAGAAACCCCGGUAGUCC